AAAAAGGGCCUUUGAUGUAAUGUCACUCAGUGUCUUCACGGACAUUGGGCGGAAUCACCAGCAAGAGAUUUCGGAGGCAUAAUUUCUGUAAAUUGUGGCAGCUGGUGCUCAAAAGGCCUGGCGCCCUA
rnacentral:snRNA from 1 species